UAUGGGGUGACUAAGCAGGGCACAUAGUACUGUAAAGGCCCAAAUUGUAGGUGUACUCGAACUACUGUAGUGGCCUCUUCUCGAGCUGUAGUUC